rnacentral:rRNA from 1 species
UACAGAGGUCCCGAGCGUUGUUCGGAUUCAUUGGGCGUAAAGGGUGCGUAGGCGGCGCGGUAAGUCGGGUGUGAAAUCUUGGAGCUUAACUCCGAAAUUGCAUUCGAUACUGCCGUGCUUGAGGACUGGAGAGGAGACUGGAAUUUACGGUGUAGCGGUGAAAUGCGUAGAUAUCGUAAGGAAGACCAGUGGCGAAGGCGGGUCUCUGGACAGUUCCUGACGCUGAGGCACGAAGGCCAGGGGAGCAAACGGG